rnacentral:tRNA from 1 species
AGGGACAUAGCUCAGUGGCACAGCACCUGCCUGGCAAGCAUGAGGCUGUGAGUUUGAGUCCCUGUGCCUA